rnacentral:rRNA from 1 species
GACGAACCGUGCGAACGUUGUUCGGAAUCACUGGGCUUAAAGGGCGCGUAGGCGGGCUGUCAAGUCUGGGGUGAAAUGCCGCGGCUCAACCGUGGAACUGCCUUAGAUACUGACGGCCUCGAGGAAGGUAGGGGCAUGCGGAACUGUAGGUGGAGCGGUGAAAUGCGUUGAUAUCUACAGGAACUCCGGUGGCGAAAGCGGCGUGCUGGACCUUUUCUGACGCUGAGGCACGAAAGCCAGGGGAGCAAACGGG